GGCUGGACAUUGCUAGAUAAGGGAAAAGAGAACUUGAUAAACCAGCCUGGCUUUUAAACUUAUUCUUGGAAGUGAUGUGUCACUUGUUUUCUUUUUUUCCCAUCAGCCAAAGCAAGUCACGUGGCCAAGUUUGUGUUCCCCAGGAACUCAAAUCUGCAGGGAGAGGCCCCACUGGAAGGGAUACAAGGUGUUUGUGGUAUAUACACUUCUACCAUGGGUUUAAUGAAUAAUGCUGGUUGCUCAUGGAAAACGGAUUAUAUUGGGAAGAGGUAGAAAGCUAUUUAAGUGUAGAAAUAUGUUAGGAAUUAACUGCAGCACUUUGGGCAAGAAAUUGGUGGCUGGGUCUGAUUCAAGAGGUACUUUGGAAUUGGUAGAAUUUGUUUUGGGAGCAGGGUGGGGAUAAGGGAAAGUUCUGAAAGAUAACUUAAAGUUUUUGUUUUUUAAUUUUAAAAAAAUAUAACAUAGGUUUGAACUGAGUGGAUAAUGAGAUAGGAUAAGGAUAGGUGAGGAGGGUUUUUUUUGGCAGGGGGCAGUGGAACAAAUGUUGAACUUGUUAAGCCUGAGUCUUCACCUAAAUGGAAAUGUCCAGUAGAUACUUGACCAUAUGUCUGGAGAUCUGGGGAUAAGUCAGAACUCAGGCAUUAACGCAGAGCUGAAUUUUAAAGUUAUGGAGUUGGAAGAGAUCCCCUUGGGAGAAAGUGUUACUAGGGAAGAGAAGAGGGCUAAAAGCUAAAGCCUUGGUGCACACCAACAUUUAUAAGUGGAACUGGCAUUGGAUCCAGCAAAAGAGAUGGAGAAGGAGCCCAUUGAGGUAAGGUGAAAAUGGGUAGAAAUGGAAGCAAAAGGAAGAAAGUGUUUCAAGAAGAAGGAAGUAGUAUGUUUCAAUGUUCUAUAAGUCAGCUAGGGGAAAAUGGAAGUCACAGUUGGCUGGCUAAGUACGGUUUUGAUGGAGAGGUGAGAAUCAAGCUCUAAUCAGGUGAAUUGAAGAAAACAUGGAAGUGAGGAAUGGAGACACCACUUUUGAGAAUUUUUUUUUUUUUGGUUGGGUGGAUAAGUAGAAAAUGAAGGGAGACAAAGAUGUGAAGAUGAAAUUCUAUGUAUGUGAAAUCUUUAUGUAAACUGUAAACGCUCUAUCUAUAAGCGUUAGGUUUGUUAUUUAUUAUUGAACCCCUAGGAAUUUCAAACUAGCUCAAUGUGAAGAAUCACUAAGACGCUACUGCUAGUCCCCAGCUCGCUGGCUAUUAAACCUCAAAAGAUCUCAAGCCUAUGAAAAGUGGACAGAUGAAGAGACAGAAAGAGCAGAGUGAAAAAAUGAAGGGCAAGAGAGAGGGCGACCUAGCAAAUAUUGUCCUCCGAGGGCCCCCGUAUGGCAGUCUCACAGCUCUUACGUAAUUUUAGGGGCGGGGCCAACAGGAAAUUUAAACCGAACCCGCGGCCGAGGGUGCCUAGAGAAUAUGCUGUAGUUGCGGAGAAGCAUUCGGUGCACGGGAGCUUGAAAGAGCCCAUGGAGCUCACGAUUGGGAUACGGCGGCCUUGAAGGAGUACGGAGACUGGGAAAGAGCAGAGAAUUGGAGGAGGGAUCCGGGAAAGGUCAACGAUCGCCUUCAACUGGAGAGUUCAAUGGAUGAGAGUAAGCUACGGGCUCCGGACCCAGGAGCUCAGCUCACAGUUUCCAGUUGUCUGGGAAAAUGCCAGAAGAGCUCACCAGAUGCCAGGAGGCAGCCCUUUUCUGGAAAAUCCUUCUACUUGGAUCUGCCUGCCGGCAAGAACCUCCAGUUUUUGACGGGGGCCAUUCAGCAGCUGGGUGGGGUAAUUGAGGGUUUUCUGAGCAAAGAAGUAAGUUACAUCGUGUCCAGCCGCAGGGAGGCGAAGGCCGAGAGCAGCAGGACAAGUCACAGAGGCUGCCCCAGCCCCAGCGAGGUCACAGUGGACACACCGCCCGUGGCCAACCCAAAAGGCAGCCGUGCUAGGCCCGCACAGAAAGCCAUGGACCCAGUGCCUCUGAGCAGAGGGAAGGAGCUCCUGCAGAAGGCCAUCAGAAACCAGGGCAGCAGCAGUGGAGGCGGCAGUGGACACGGCAGCAGCCUCCUGAGCAACGCCCGCUCCUGGGGGGUGCAGAUUCUCCACGUGGAUGAAAUGCUGAUACGGGUGCAGCAACUGUCUCUUGAUGCUCCACGUGUGAAGAAACAAGGGCUGAAGAAGCCAGAGGGAACAUGUCCAGCAGAGUCAAGAACACGGAAAGUGGCCAGACUGAAGGCACCGUUCCUCAAAGUCGAAGAUGAAAGCAGUUUUGUGUGUUUCAGGAAGUUUCGUCCUUUCCACCUUCAGUUUAAAUCCUUUCCUGAAAUUUCUUUUCUGGGACCCAAAGCCGCCAGUCCUUUUGAGGCCCCGAUGACUCCAAGCAGCUCGCACCAUACCAGAGAAGCCAAGGACCAGGAGCCAAGCCGGCGAUCGGCUGCCUGCACUGUGCCCAGGAGGAGGAAAGGGUACUGUGAGUGCUGCCAAGAAGCCUUCGAGGAGCUGCAUGGGCAUCUCCAGAGCCCCAGGCACCAGGGCUUUGCCCUGGAAGCCCACCUGUACGCUGAAGUCGAUCGGAUCAUUGCCCAGCUGAGCCACAGCUUUGCAGACGUCCCCUUCCAGGCCAGCCUCCCCGGGCAGCCAGGCUCCUUGGCUUCCGACUGUGACCCUCUGUGUCCUGAGCUUCCGCCUCCCCACUGGCCCUCCCCUCUCAGGGCAGCGUCUCCCUGGAGGAAGAAAGACGGUCAUCAGCCGGCCCCAGGUGCCACCGAGCAUGGUGGGACUAUGAGUGGCAUGAAGGCAGCGGCAGAACCUGUGGAGGCUGGCAAGACUCCUGGACCGAUAGCAAGCUGCCGGGAGCUGAAGGGGUCAGCUGACAGCUUUGUGGACCCCCCAGAAACCCCAGGGUCUGGGAGCUCUGCUUACCAGGACCUCCUAACCAGCUCAGGACUUGCUGAACUCUCCUCUGGCCCAGAGCUGCCUCAUUUUGGCCACAAGCGGAAGGUUCAGUUCCCCAGUGGCAGUGCCGAAAAGAGGCCGGGCGCAUCCUGGCCACAAGCCUCACUCCUUGUCCCGAGAGCCCCCAGCCCCUGUGGCACCCCCAGCUCCUGUGGCAUCAGGACAACCAGCAGCAAGCACCUUCCCCUUCCAGGCCAUGUGCCCAGGUCUCUGGCCUCCCUCCAGCCUGUGCGCCACCCACAGGAAGAGACCUGCCUCUCCCUCCCAGGCAGCCCCCCAGUAGGUUGGCAGAGUGCUGGGCCACACAGGCCCCCUGGCCUGGGGGAGGAAGGCCCCCAGGACCUAAGUGUUCUGAGAGUGCCACCCCUGGCCCUGUCUCCCAGCAGGCUGAGCAGCUCUGGGCCAGCUGCCAGCCCACCUGCCCUCAGCUGCAGGCACGGAGCCCCCAGGAGGACCUGCAGAGAGCCUGGCUGCCUCUCCCCGCCACCCUCUGCCAGCCGGCGGGCGGACCAGCUGCUCCCCAUGGUUCUGGACCUCCCAGCCUCUUCCAGGCCCCUGACUCCCAACCCCAGCCCACCGCCAACAGAGAACUACUUCUAUGAGUCCCCGCCCACCCCUGGGCAUGCAGCUCUGGGGCCAGACAGCUCCCAACUUGAGGGCAAGUUAUACGUCAGCUGAGGGCUGCACACCCAGCCCAGGCUGACCUGACACACAAGGAGGAGCCGGCCCAGAGCCUGGCCCUGGACGACCAUUGCCGAGCUCUAGGUGCAUUAGAUGGAGCCAGUCCUCCCAGCCACCAGGUCUUUGGGGCUGGGGGCUGCCCUCUCCAGCCAUGGAUCGUGCAGGCACGGCCAGCUGCUCAGACCAGGAGGCAGGGGCAAGGUUGGCAUAGGGAGGGCCCACAGAGAAGCCAGAGCAGCAGGAGUCCUGGCCUGGCUUCCUGUCCCUCUGCAGGCACUUGCUCAGCCAAGAGGGUUAGUUGUCAGUGUUCCCCACCCCCACCCCAGCCUCCUUUCCCACAAGCGUGUGGCUCUCCUGCUUUCCGAGAUGCUUGUGUGUUGUCCCCUCCCCCAGCCCCCCACGCUGGUGCACACAGAUCCUCAGGAACAUAUGAAGCAGAGGAGGGGCUCGGCUGCGCCAUUUCCAAAGCUCCCUCCCCGCCACACUUACUGGGGGCCCAGCACUGACCCUCCCCUGAGCCCAGGAUGUGGCCUGAACCCCUCUGGGGACCCCUCUCAGCUCUUCCCUGCCGCCUCAGCUCCGGCUGCCCACCCAGAGUUCUGUUCCAGGGUCAGUAGCUCACCUGCCAACUUCUGCAUCCCCCUCCUUCCCCGAGGACCUCCCCCCAUUUCUUUCAGCUGAGCCAUUAAUCUGGAGACAGAGAUGAGUUUGCUAUCGAUUCUUUGACCACUUUUUUUUUUAUUAUUAUUACAUCUUGUACUGUGGUUCUUCUCACCCUUCUCUGCCUCUGUGUUUGUCUCUUUAAACGUUGAAGCUUCCAGAAGCCUGCUGCUAUUCUGUAUCUCAUUUUGGAGGAAGAAACUUGGGCAGAGGGGGCGCCUAGAUGCAGCAGAUGACUUUGACCCAGCAGGACAGCCUCAGCCUGCCAUGCCCCCUUCAGUCUGACUCUCAGAGGAUGCAGCGUGCCGCCGUCUGCUCUCCAGCCCACCCCGCCAGCCUUGGCAGUGUCCUCCUCCGGCUCGUCACCUCUCCUUCCUUCUGACCGAAAACUCCAGCCUGGAGAACACUUGCAUUGAUUCAGCAGCUUAAAGAGAGCUCCCUUCUGUUCUCUGGCUACAUCUUGCGGUCUACAGCCACUGCCUCCGUGCCCGAACCUCCUGCCCCGUCCAAACCUCCGCGGUGGCUCUACCCAAAGCACUCCACUAGGAUCGUCCCUUCCAAGGUCACCUCGGAGAACCUGAUAAUGACCAAAAUUGGCAUCCUUUUCCUUUUUUCCACCUUGUUGGAACCUGGCUCCCCUGCUCCCGCUGACCUCAGGUUCCCCUCCCUCCCCCAGCCUCUGCCCUCUCUACCACGGGCACUGGUUCCCUCAGCAGCCCCAGCCCACAGCCCCCAGCCCUCACUGCCUCUCCAGAUGUGAGUCUGGGCCCUUGUUCUCACCUCCCAACUCUGGUUCUUUCAGCGAAUUGGUAGCUCCACCCCUGACUCCCUUCUGAGUUCCAGUCUUCACCCAUGCUGGGUGAGAAGGCAGGAGAUUUAGCCACACUCAACACAAGACCCUUUACUACCCUGGGUCUUGGUUUCCUCAUCUUUAAGUGAGGGGCUCAUGUGAGAUGAUUUCAAGGGUCCUUCCUCCAAUAAUAAAAAAAACCACAACCUCCUGUGAA